rnacentral:lncRNA from 1 species
AAAAAGCACUCUGACGUCUUGAAAGCUGGCAGCUCUCUGUUUGGAAAAUCUCUGCCCAGUGAAAAAAUGUACCGACAAGAUUACUAAGUAACACAGUCUUCUGGGAAUGCCUUAUCAAUGCCAGCUAUUUGAAGAGCACCCAAAGUCAAACUAGUGCUCCGCGCUGGCAGUCUGGAAAAGGCAGAUGUAUGUGAGUAGAGAAACUGAUAGACAACUAGUUGCUGGCCAGUUGGCCUGUUUUCGUGCUACAAGCCUUCAGAAAACAGUCGCCUCCUUUUACCACGUUUCUAUUUCUAAACCAAAAUGAAAAGGACGUUUGUUCAAAAGAUAUUCUCUUGGGCUUUACAUUGCUUUCCCCCUGCUCACUCAGCAAAAUCCUACACUUUUUUUCCAAUUCCAAUGCUGCUGUUGGGUGUCCUUCCCAGAAGACAACCUUAAAUUCUCUUAGGCCUUAGGAGCUGAAUCUAACACCAGUCUUAAUUAACCUACAACAAGACAAAAAUUUAGGUCCGGGCUUACCUCCUAGUCAGCAGAUGGGAAAAAUUCCUAGAGAGUCUCUGGGAAAAAGGCAAAGGCUAACUUUAGCAGUUUGCUAGAAAAAAAAAAAUUCAAGUACCUUGUAAGUCACCAGGGUAGAUGCAGCAAUACUCUCUAAGGUAGCUUUACCUCUUCAAUUCUCUUACCUUACCUGAAUUUAAACACAGUGAGGCAAGUACCAAGGUCACAACCCUCCUGUGGAGGGCCUUAUUCUGCAAGGGCUCUCUGAUAUACUUCUAUCUUUGUACCGUUGGCACCUGACCACAAGCUUAGGCAUCCCUGAAAUGCUCCCUUGCUACCCAGUGUCAAGGAAUCAUUGAACCUUAGACUUUGUACUCAGGUGAACCAGGAUGAAAUCCCUAUUCUUCCAGUUUAAACUUAGGAAAUUUACUGUUCUUUUUAUCUGCCCCCUCCCCACCACCCACAUCCCCUUAUCAUCCCUAUAGGUAUAGUACUACAGGGUGCUGUGAGAAUUAGCUAAUAUGCUCAAAGCACCAAGAACAGUGCCAAUCACUUUGUAAGUAGUCAGUAAAUGAGAGCUACUAUUGUACUUAACUACUCUUCACUGAAAGCAAAAGAACCAGGAAUAGCAAAAAGGUUUGGAAACCUGGGAUCUGAAUCCCCUGCAAGUUGAGUCCACCCCAAGUUGCUUUAUUGCAAUACUUUUGGCUACUCUUGUGUCUGCCUUCUAAUUGGAUCAACUGGGUAGUUCUUCACGUGUAGGCAGGUGAUUCACAUGCACAUUAAUGCUUGAAAGCCACUAGUCUAAAAACUAUGCUACACUGGUUAGUUCACCUCUUCUUAUUUUGUAGCAUGUAAACCUUAAAUCUAGUGAUCUUACCUCAGUCCACCUAAUUCACAUUAACAUCCACACUUAGCAAGCUCUCUGUAAAGGACUGGUAGAAUUAGCAAUCAGUCAACUUGAGUGAGGGUCUUAAAGAAGUACAAGGCUUAUUCUCCGACUUCAGGGUGUUCAUAGUUCAUGGGAAUCAUGCAUACACACAAACCAGAAUAAACCAUUUUGAAGCAAAUGUGCUUGAAGUUCAGCACAUCUCCAGGAAGGAGAGGGUACUGUGAGCUAGAUGAACUGGGUGCACAGACUCUGUCUUGACCUUUCACUUUAUACCCAAUUCUUUAGGCUAAAUUUUGACAUUCUAAUUGGACUUCCAGAGUUAGUAGUUCUCACACUAAAGACUGUGUAAUUACAAGUUAACCAUGUACAGGUUGGUGAUAGAAGCAGAAGUAGAUAUUUCUGGGCUAUGCAGGGCUAUGGUAAGGGAUUUGGAAUGAAAUAGGUCUGGGCUUAAAUCUUGUAUCUCUAGCUAUGAACUUCAGUUUCCUCAUCAGUCUAUUGGAAUAUAACUACCUUUUAGGGUUGUGGUGAGACUUAGAAUAUCUGUAACCCCUCUAGUGGGUUGUAUGGUAACAGCAAUUGUGUCACAUUGUUGUUUUGUUGUUAGCUGUAAGAAAACUCAGGCUGGGCUGAGUUGUUCCUUGAAGGCGUAAUUAAUUAAUUUUUUCUGAGACAGAGUCUCAUGCUGUGUGAUCUCGCUGACUGCAACUUCCGCCUUCCAGGUUCAAGCAAUUCUCCUUGCCUCAUCCUCCUGACUAGCUGGGAUUACAGGUGCCCGCCACCACGCCCAGCUAAUUUUUGUAUUUAUUUAUUUUUUUUAGUAGAGAUGGGUUUUCACCAUGUUGGCCAGGCUGGUCUCAAACUCCUGACCUCAGGUGAUCCACCCGCCUUGGCCUCCCAAAGUGCUGGGAUUAUAGGCAUGAGCCACCACGCCUGGCCUGAAGGCAUAAUUUAAAAGUCACCUUCUCUAUGAAGCCUCCACAGGUUCUAGGCAAGUAUAACUCUUCCUUCCUUGUGUGACCACAGCACUUACCAUGGCAUGCUCUCAUUUGUCUCUUUACAUGCCUCUUCACUACAGAGUCUGGGAGCCUCUCCAGGGCAGGGCUGUAUCUUGAUUCACUUUUAUGUCCAUUAUCAAUACCCUGCACAGGACCUGAUAUUAAAUAUUGAAAUAAUGAGUUUUUAAGUGUUUCAGUUUCUUGUAUUGGUUCUGACUUUCAGUAUAACUCUUAUUAUACUACAGGCUCUAAAACCUGAACCCUUUAGCUCAUAAAUAAUUCAUACUAAAUUUAUGUAUUAUGUAUAUGUAUCUGCUUAAACCUUGAUGAUGUCAAUGCUGGGAUUGUUCUUUCAGAUCAACCUGCUAUUCUUGUUUUGUUUUGCAUUUGAUUUCAGUUGAUCCUACCUGGUAAGAGUGCAAGUAAAAUCUACAUUCUAAACCAAAACCACCAGCAGGAUUUUACGCUGCAUUCUCUAUCCACCCUGUGCACAUCUGCUCCCCAUACCAUUUCUGAGCUUUGUGGGAAGAGGCUGAGCUAAAAGAAAACGUUGUUGUUUUAAGUUUCAGUUGUUUAGACUGUUGCAACCAUUAGCACUUUCUGAAUUAAUACCUGCAAGAUAAAUGCUACCUUUAGCAACAGUUUU